rnacentral:lncRNA from 1 species
UUCUAUCUGAUUCAGAAGACCAGAUUGUAGUUAAGAUAAAUUAGUAUAUAACAGUAGUUGGGGACUUAGCUUAGUAAAUAAGAAAACUCAGUGGUAAGACAGAACAAGAGAAAGUAGAAUAGAAAACUGUCAUGGACAAAUCAUUUAUCACAAGCUAAAAAAUUGAAAUCUUGUUCUUCUCAGUUACAGAAAGUUCUAAGAACGAGACCCAGACAUUGAAUAAAGUUAAAUAAAAAGCAAUAAUAAUUUUAACAUAAGCUUUGACAGUUGCACAUGAGAAAAUUUGUUUUUCCUACUGUUGUUGACUUAAAAAGCAUUUUAGUGGCUUUCAAAAUAGUCUGUUGUAAUAAGACGCAAAUGGUAGUAAGUAUCUUUAUAAUCAUUAUCUCAAUCAUUGUAUCUUCUCUUUCAGCACUUUGUCAGGAAUAUUGAGUGACAUAGAUGAGCACAUUAAUGGAGAGGGAGAGGAACAGAAAUUUAUUGGCUGAUGAUUUUGAAGACUGGGAAGUCCAAUAUCAGGGUGCUGUCAUCUCACGAAGGCUUUCUUAUGGCGUGAUCACAUGGUGGUAAGCAAGAGGUCAAGAGAAGGGUAAGAGGGGGCUGAACUUACUCUUUCAUAAUGGUGCUAAUUCCACUUGUGAGGAUGGAGUUCUACAGGCCUAAUAACCUCUUAAAACUCCCAACACUGAAUACUGUUACAAUGGCAAUUACAUUUCAACAUGAGUUUUAGAGAGGACAAACAUUCAAGCCAUAGCAGGCUCCAAGUGUUGUGUACUCUACAAUUCCGGAAGCACUAUUUAGAUACACUAUGCCACCAGGUGAAAGAAGUCAGGAUCUAAUUUAGAAUAGAAACAGUGAGGAUGGAAAGAACUAUCUAGGAGGUAAAUUAAAUA